GCUUACGGCCAUACCACCCUGAGAACGCCCGAUCUCGUCUGAUCUCGGAAGCUAAGCAGUGUCGGGCCUGGUUAGUACUUGGAUGGGAGACAGCCUGGGAAUACCAGGUGCUGUAAGCU
rnacentral:rRNA from 1 species